AGAAGUCGUAACAAGGUUUCCGUAGGUGAACUUGCGGAAGGAUCAUUGUCGAGGCCCGAAUAGAUAAUCGCAAACCCGUCAACGCUCCCGCAGAGGCUGAGGGACGAUGGCAUUUGCCUGCCUGACCCCGCCACCCCAGGGCACCCAUGGCUACCCCCGUCCUACCUCGUUGUGGGAUGGGCGGCGGGAACAAUACCCGGUGCGGUGGGCGCCAAGGAACAUUCAUAGUCGAAGAGCGCCACAAGCCGGUUCUUGAGUGCAGUGUGAACCUUCCAUACAAGUCAAACUUUUACGACUCUUGACGACGGAUAUCUUGGCUCUUGCAUCGAUGAAGAACGUAGCGAAAUGUGAUACUUGGUGUGAAUUGCUGAAUCCCAUGAACCAUCAAGUCAUUUAAUGCAAGGAGCGCCCAAGGCUAUCCGGCCGAGGGCACGCCUGCAUGUGCGUCAUGCCUCACGUCGCUCCAUGCACCCUGAGCCACCCUUCGAGUAGGGGUGGUGGCGGACGCCGAUGCGGAGAUUGGCCCCCCAUGCCUUGCGACGCGGCGGGCCGAAGUGCAGGCCGCCGGCCGGGAACGAAUGCGGCGAGUGGUGGACGGACAUGUACGGCGUCGGACACUGCCUCCACCCCCGGCUGAAGUAGUGCAUGCAAGGAACCCAUGCCGUCGGGUGCGCUCGUACGCACCCCUCGAAACCCGACCCCAGGUCAGGCGGGGCCACUCGCUAAGCUUAAGCAUAUAAAUAAGCGGAGGA
rnacentral:rRNA from 1 species